rnacentral:rRNA from 1 species
UGCCAGCAGCCGCGGUAAUACGAACCGGACAAACGUUAUUCGGAAUCAUUGGGCUUAAAGGGUACGUAGGCGGCACGGCAGGUUGGAUGUGAAAUCCCUCGGCUCAACCGAGGAACUGCGUCCAAAACCUCUGUGCUAGAGGGAGACAGAGGUAAGCGGAACUGAUGGUGGAGCGGUGAAAUGCGUUGAUAUCAUCAGGAACACCAGUGGCGAAAGCGGCUUACUGGGUCUUUUCUGACGCUGAGGCACGAAAGCUAGGGUAGCGAACGGGAUUAGAUA